rnacentral:rRNA from 1 species
UACGUAGGCAGCGAGCGUUGUUCGGAGUUACUGGGCGUAAAGGGUGUGUAGGCGGUUGUUUAAGUUUGGUGUGAAAUCUCCCGGCUCAACUGGGAGGGUGCGCCGAAUACUGAAUGACUAGAGUGCGGGAGAGGAAAGUGGAAUUCCUGGUGUAGCGGUGAAAUGCGUAGAUAUCAAGAGGAACACCUGCGGCGAAGGCGGGUUGCUGGGCUGACACUGACGCUGAGGCGCGAAAGCUAGGGGAGCGAACGGG